CAUUAAACAGGCCCUUCUUGCAAAGAGAAAAAUGUUCAAAAUGAAUGCAAAAGCUUCUGUCAAAACCACUAACGAAAAAACUGGGCGUGUUUGGAAAAUACAAGAACAAAGGCAGAAUCUUCAUUUCAAAUAUUCUCAGCAGUUUCUGACUUUGUUUUGGGAGUGGGAUGCAGACAUGCGGAAAGCUCAGGAACAAGAAGAAAAACUAGCUGGUAUGUUCCAAGACCAACGAAAGGUUCUUCGACAAGCUAGAAUUGUUCAGAAGCAGACACUGCAAAAAAUUAAAAAUGUAUAUGAGCAAUUC